UUUGUCUCUCCUGGUGUGGUGUCUGGAGGAGUAGGGGUUUGUCUCUCCUGGUGUGGUGUCUGGAGGAGUAGGGGGUUUGUCUUUCCUGAUGUAGUAUCUGGAGGAGUAGGGGUUUGUCUCUCCUGGUGUGGUGUCUAGAGGAGUAGGGGGUUUCUCUCCUGGUGUGCUGUCUGGAGGAGUAGGGGCUUUGUCUCUAUUGGUGUUGUGUCUAGAGGAGUAGGGGGUUGUCUCUUCUGGUGUGGUGUCUGGAGGAGUUGGGGUUUGUCUCUGCUGGUGAUGUGUCUAGAGGAGUAGGGGGUUUGUCUCUCCUGGUUUCUAGGAGUAGGGGUUUGUCUCUCCUGGUGUGGUGUCUGAAGGAGUAGGGGGUUUUCUAUCCUGGUGUGGUGUCUGGAGGAGUGGGGGUUUGUCUCUCCUGGUGUCUGGAGGUGUAGGGGUUUGUCUCUCCUGGUGUGGUGUCUGGAGGAGUAGGGGUUUGUCUCUCCUGGUGUGGUGUCUAGAGGUGUAGAGGUUUGUCUCUCCUGGUGUGGUGUCUAGAGGAGUAGGGGGUUUGUCUCUCCUGUUGUGGUGUCUGGAGGAGUAGGGGUUUGUCUCUCCUGGUGUGGUGUCUGGAGGAGUAGGGGUUUGUCUCUCCUGGUGUGGUGUCUGAAGGAGUAGGGGUUUUGUCUUUCCUGAUGUGGUGUCUGGAGGAGUAGGGGGAUUGUCUCUCCUGGUGUAGAGAUGUAGAGCUUUCUCUCUCCUGGUGUGGUGUCUAGAGGAGUAGGGGUUGUCUCUCCUGGUCUGGUGUCUGGAGGAGUAGGUGGUUUGUCUCUCCUGGUGUGGUGUCUGGAGGAAUAAGGGUUUGUCUCUCCUGGUGUGGUGUCUAGAGGAGUUGGGGUUUUGUCUCUCCUGGUGUGGUGUCUGGAGGUGUAGGGGUUUGUCUCUCCUGGUGUGGUGUCUGGAGGAGUAGGGGAUUUGUCUCUCCUGGUGUGUUGUAUGGAGGUGUAGGGGUUUGUCUAUCCUGGUGUGGUGUCUGGAGGAGUAGGGGUUUGUCUCUCCUGGUGUGGUGUCUGAAGGAGCAGGGGGUUUGUCUUUCCUGUUGUGGUGUCUGGAAGAGUAGGGGUUUGUCUCUCCUGGUGUUGUGUCUGGAGGAGUCGGGGUUUGUCUCUCCUGGUGCGGUGUCUAGAGGAGUUGGGGUUUGUCUCUCCUGGUGUCUGGAGGAGUAGGGGGUUUGUCUCUCCUGGUGUGCUGUCUAGAGGAGUAGGGGUUUGUCUCUCCUGGUCUGGUGUCUGGAUGAGUAGGUGGUUUGUCUCUUAUGGUGUGGUGUCUGGAGGAAUAAGGGUUUGUCUCUCCUGGUGUGGUGUCUGGAGGAGUUGGGGUUUUGUCUCUCCUGGUGUGGUGUCUGGAGGUGUAGGGUUUUGUCUCUCCCGGUGUGGUGUCUGGAGGAGUAGGUGGUUUGUCUCUCAUUGUUACGUUC
ensembl:lncRNA